GUUUUUAUUUCAGCAGACUCUGAAGUCUUACCAAUGGGUAGUGUCAUCACUAACUUUGCACUAUUAACUUCUGGCCCAGGAGGUCUAUUUCUGUGUCGUGAGGCCAGGAGCCUGAAAAAAUAACGAAAACGAGUCCCUGUCACAGCUGAACCAGUUCCAUGAUCAUAUUAGUCCUACCAGUGCGGGCGGAAACACAGGAGGUCACUUGGCUCUUCAUCAUCUUCAAAGCAAACAGCAGAGCACUUCCCGUGGCCAUUUCCCAGAUCAGUGCGCAAGAGCAGUUCAGGAAAACCGCUUUUAUGGGAGUGAAACACCGCCCCUGCCUGAUAAUGUGCCUUAAUUCAAAAAAUAUCCUGAAAUAUCUAGAACUCCUGAAGUAGAGAGAGAUCGAUUACACACACUUCAGGCAUGUAUGCAUUUUCCAUGUGUAAAAUAAGAUUCAUUGCUGCCUUUUGAAGCUUUAGUUGCACUUUACAAAAGGAAUGUGUAACCGUCUUGUCUCAUUGUUAUAGCAGUCAUAUCCCUGGCCACAACCAUUAAUCAAUUUCUU
rnacentral:lncRNA from 1 species